rnacentral:rRNA from 1 species
ACUCCUACGGGAGGCAGCAGUGAGGAAUAUUGGACAAUGGGCGGAAGCCUGAUCCAGCCAUGCCGCGUGCAGGAAGACGGCCCUAUGGGUUGUAAACUGUCUUUUGUACGGGAAGAACAAGGGCCACGUGUGGUCCGUUGACGGUACCGUAAGAAUAAGGACCGGCUAACUCCGUGCCAGCAGCCGCGGUAAUACGGAGGGUCCGAGCGUUAUCCGGAAUUAUUGGGUUUAAAGGGUCCGUAGGCGGGCCGUUAAGUCAGGGGUGAAAUGCUGCGGCUCAACCGUAUCACUGCCUUUGAUACUGGCGGUCUUGAAUCAUUGUGAAGUGGUUGGAAUAUGUAGUGUAGCGGUGAAAUGCAUAGAUAUUACAUAGAACACCGAUUGCGAAGGCAGAUCACUAACAAUGUAUUGACGCUGAUGGACGAAAGCGUGGUAGCGAACAGGAUUAGAUACCCUGGUAGACUGUCA